UACGUAGGGUGCUAGCGUUGUUCGGAAUCACUGGGCGUAAAGGGCGCGUAGGCGGCUUUGGCAGUCGGCUUGUGAAAGCCCGGGGCUCAACCCCGGAGGUGCGGCCGAUACUCCAAGGCUCGAGGCCGGAAGAGGAGGGUGGAAUACCCAGUGUAGAGGUGAAAUUCGUAGAUAUUGGGUGGAACACCGGUGGCGAAAGCGGCUCUCUGGUCCGGUCCUGACGCUGAGGCGCGAAAGCGUGGGGAGCAAACAGG
rnacentral:rRNA from 1 species